rnacentral:lncRNA from 1 species
UGGGUGAGAUGAUGCACAAGGAGGUUGCCGCCGGUCAGAGGAGGAGGGCGAGAAGGCUGGAGAGCCGAGGCAGAGGCUUACAGGGAAGAGAAGAAACGACACCUUAUACAUACAGGAUACCCGCUCCCAGGUGCCAGGAGGACAGCCGGGGCUGACGGAGGUGUGGCUUUCUAAAAACUAAACCUUUCCUCUGUAAUGCAUAGCUUCUCUGUAGAACAUCCAAUUGUUCUUGGGUAGUAUGACUGUGGAUAACAUCAUCAUUUUGGUCAAACUAAAAUUUACAGAGGGAGGCCUAGGGGAUAACGUUAGGUUAAGUAAGGUUGGUUUUGUAUCUUCUGUAUUUUGUUGAAAAUGAAGUGCUUCCACCAACAUGAAUAUUCCACGAAAAUCAGACUUCAUAUUUGGUAAAACAUGAAGGUCUAGUCUGUAUAGAUAUCCUCAGUAGAUCAAGGAUAUAAAUUAUUAUCUGCAUUUAUCUCGUGUAUUUUGAUGGAUGGUUGUGGCUGAACCAGCAAAUGCUCAUUGAGAUUUAGAUUACAGGAUAAGAGUGUCGAGGAAGUUAACACAUGAAGUAAUCAUAUAAUUCUACCAUGACUUAGUGCUGCACAUAUGUUGAGGUAGUUACGCAGACAUCUGUUCUACCAAGGUUCUUACUUAUACACACUUGUACAUUCUGUUGUUAUAGUUGAUUGAAAUGCUCUAACUGAUGGUUUGCCAUAUGGCCAUGGAUAGUAUAUAGUUUGGUUUCGACACUCCCAAAUAAUAAAUGGUUCAUUUGUUUGUUUUUGUGUUUCAUAGAAAGGAUUAAAUAAUUAGAACCCAAAAGUGAGUUUCAGGAUUUGUAAUGAAAUCCUAUUUGCCGCCUUAUGUCGAGGCAGCCAUGACGCUCUCUGUUGCAAAUAUACCACAACUAAUUUUACAACUCACCCAGUCGUUAUUCCUUAUGAGCUGAUUUAUAUAACUCAGGAUAUAAUGUCCAAGAUUUCUUACCAAUGUACAUUCUAGAUUCUGUGAGGUUAGAAGGUACUUAUAAGAAUAUAGCUGAACUCCAGAUUAUCUUCCUUUUGAUCAACGCUUCUACUAGAGUUCAUUAACUAUGUCAGAUGUCUGUUGGUGUUGGCAUCACAUAGUCCCUGUCAUGAGCAUGCCCUGUUCUCUGAAGUUUACCAAAACAACAAAUAUUUAGUUGAACAUUGACAGCGUUUCUUGUUUUUUCUAUUUAAGGAGUUCGAAAAAUUACAGGGUUUUUAAGUUUUAUCUAUGCUUUGUUGGAAGGUAUGCUCGGAUCACUUAUAGAGAUCUGGAGAGGAAAGUUUGUUCCUUCCUUACAAGAGCCAUAUAAACAAUAAGGAAAAGCUCUUUCCUAGCAUAAGGUGAAUCUUGUAUAGUUUAAUUUGGGUAUAUUUUCUUAUAAAUGUGUAUUGUUGCAUACAUAAAUUGUCUCAGUUAGACGAACAAUUUUUUAUUUAGCGGUGACAUACUUGGGACACCAAGAAUAGGAUUGCGGCGGGGUUGGCCAAAGGACUGCACUACUUGCACUUUUUGUACAGCCCAGGAUACCAUAUUGCAACCUAAGGCCAUUGGUAAUUCACUUAAAUAUAUAUAUUCUCAUUUUUCAGACUUCAGUCAUCAAUUUAGUUAAAUCUGUUAGCUUACUGAUUGCUGCAUAACUACCAUUUCUCAAAUUUACAAUGCGGUUUCUGUGUUGAUUUCAAAAUGGUGAGAUAUAAUUAGUUAUUCACAUUUUAGCAGGGACAAAUCUUGAUUCUUAAAUGCAGGCUAACUGUCAAUUAAUCUUUUAUGUAUAAUACCAACAUGUGUCGUGAUAAUAUAAGAAUGCAACAUUGUAGUGCCAUAUAAUCUAUCAUUUUUUUGGAACCACAAGCAUGCAGCAUGUACUGCCAAAACAAUAUUUAUCAUAUGUUGUCAGAGAGAUCUAGCUCAAUAUGGGUUCAGAAGGAAAUUGUCAAAGAUGAAGUGGUACACGUCUACAAUUAUAGUAAAUUCUCUUUAGGGAUUUUAUUACCAAGAAGCACUUGAGUGGUUUGCUCCAUGGUAUAACUAACGAGCAUUUACUUGGCUUCCUUCGUUAGUUCCUUCGUUAGUGUUUAUUUGGCAACGGGCAAAAGCCAAGGCGCCGCCGGCGAUGCGCUAUCGUUCAGGUGCAUCAUCAAGGCCCAUCUUGGCGUGAGCAUGAGGUUGCGCGCUGAAUAUCAUCUCUGUCGGCUGCACCUUAUCGAUAGGACGGAAGAUGAGAUGUGUGGACCACCGUUUAUUGGUUGGAGAGAAAUUUUUGUGGGGAGGUGAGACGAUGUAUAUGGGCUAGGAAAGUGCGUCGUCUGUUUCAGAAGCGGAAGAGCAAACAAUUUCGGGCUAGACGGCUGGCGUUGAGUCUUGACUGUUAGGCUUACGGAACUGCUGGAUGAGAGUACAGUAGAGGCAAGCAUAGCCCCGCAAACAAAUAGGAAAAAUAAAAUAAUUGAUGAUGGAGUUUAUAGGUCAGGCCCGAGGAGGUGGGCUUGAGUGGGACUGCAUGAGAUAUGACGUGGCUCGAUGUGAUUAGAUGCUGAGGUGUCUAUGCUACAUGUUGAGAUAAAUCAAGUAGUGGGGGUGAACUUCUUAAAUAUAUAGGAUUUGGCAACGCAUGGGUAUUACACCCAAUGUAGUGCCAUAAAUCUCAUCGUAUCAUAUAACCCUCAUCAUCUAAUAUUGUAUAUAUUCAUAUAUUGAUGCAUCAAGGGGCUGCUAAUUGUUGCGAAGUGACAUCUGCAUUGCCAACAGAGCAAAUAAAGUUAGUGCGAAGAAGACACGCGUCAGGGAGGAAGUAGGGCAUGCACAAUGGAAUGGGGAUAUAUUUAGGAUGUGAUGAAAAAUUGCAUGCUAUAGCAGAGAGACUUGGAUUGGAGGCAAGUCGAGUUAUGGGCGGAGAUGAGAUGACGAAGACAAGAUGAAGACUUGUGGCGGAAAAAACACACGACAUGAUUUAGACAACAAGGGUGCCAUUCCUCCUCACUGCGCCACAUCGGCGUGCUCGAUGUUGACGAUGGGGGUGCCGUCUCUCCACCUCGUUGUGCCACACCAUUGUGCCUCAUGUAAACGAUGCGUGCGUCAUCCCUCCUCGCCGCGUCACACCUUUGUGCCAGUUGUAGAGACGAGGGCGCCGUCAGCGGCGAGCCUUUCUGCACCGAACAAUAGGAUCCAGCUGACCAAGAUGCCUGAUUGGCGAGCGCAUGGGCUCCAUGCUGAUGUGGUGGCGGGAGGGGUUGCCAUCAGAGAAGGAGGCCAACGAUGCCAUAGCGGGGAGAGGAGGAUGUGGGCGACACCAUUGAGAGAAGGUAGGCUAUGGGGAUGGUACAGGCUCGACCGGGGGAGGGGGGGAUGGCAGGGAUAGGAUGGGUCGACCGAUGCCGUGAAAGGGUGAAGACGAUUCGCCACACCAACGAUGGAAGGGAGGCGGCGGGGAAAGGCGCGGACGCGCGGAUGUGAGGAGAGAGAGUUCUGCGUGAAGCCAAAUAUUCAAAUGUUGGCAACACUGUUUGAUAGCAUGCUUGGGGUGACUUGUUAAGUAAGGUCUCUUGUCCAUUGUUUCAUGAUUUAUGGUUUCUAAUAUAUACCACUUGUGGAUUUAUUUUCUAUAUGCAUUCAUCGACCGAUACAUAUUGUACUUCAGCAGCAAACUUGUACACCGUGUGUAUAUUUUAGACCCUAUCCAUACAUCAUAGUCGCCAGAGAUUAAAACUCUGAGUCAUUUAGUGAAAUUACAAGAUUUUGCGAGGCAAUUCAACGAUGCACUCAAAAUUGCGCAUCCCGGCUAAAACUCCGACAUAUCUAAAUUACAAAAUAUAUUUUUGUUGGUAUUCCAAUGAGCAUGAAUGGAUAAAUUUAUAUAUUUUAUUAUCAUAACAUGCAAGAUACAUGCAUUUAUUUUUGUUAGCACCACAUUCAAGAUAAUAUUAAUUUAGGAAAUUGCAAGGACGUGUCUGACUAUUUUGUUGUUGAUUUUAUGCCCUCAUGAAAUAAUAAAGAAUUGGUUCACCCGGUUUGCACGAUGAGUAUUCUCCGUUGCAUAUUUUUAAACCUUCCACAUAAAGUACUCAUACUAGGUAGAUAUAUUGCUUGUGCUGGAUGGUUAUGAGUUGAGAAAGAAGUUUUUAUUAUAUUUGCUCAAAUAUCGUGCGAAUGAUGCUAAAGACAAUAUUCUGACAUUGAUCUUAUUUGUAACAGAUUAAUAGUAGGAUCAUUGAUUUCUAUGUAUACAUCGUCUAAUUUUUUUAUCAAAUUACAUUGCAAGUAAAGUGGGCAUCAAUUAUUAUCCGAUUGUUACUAGCUAUUUUUUCUAUACAUGAAAAUUUUAACAUGCAUUACGUUUAUAUAACUUUUAAAAAUAAUAAUUAAUCAGCGUAUUAUUUUUGUAAAUUAAUAAAAAUAUAGUAUUUUAAAAAAAAUAGCGACGACGUGCAGGUGCAGCCCGGCACGUUCGAUCGCCGCGCGGAGCAACUAGCCGCGACCAGAGCCAAGGUGAGCUAUCGAGUGUGCUCUGCCAGACGGCGGCAGCCCGGGCGGCGGGCUUCGCUGUUU